AAAUGCUAAAAUCUUUGAAGUGACUUUCAUUUGCUGAAACUUCUCUCUCUCUCUCUUUUUUUUUUUUUCCAGCUUCUUUCUCCUAGUCUCUUUUGGUUGGUACUCUUCACCCUCGAAUUAAAGCCCUCUGAAGAUUUUAUGAAGUCCAGGAAUAAUAUUUCAGAACACUUUUUAUGUACAAGUGCCAGGUGUGCCUUCAAAGUGGCUCCAUAAAAGUACUACUUGGAUGCCAGAUAACAGAUUCCUGCUGGCCUUCAGAUCCUGAGCUUCUCAGAAUGUGAGUAGAUUUUUUCAGGUGCAGUGGGCGUUCGCUUUAUCCCUAGAUGAUGAAUAAGUCAGGGAUACAAUUGUUAUAAAUAAUAAUGCUUAUUUGUUUUUCUUAUUCUACUAUUAGUAUAUUUAAUGCUUAUUUAUUAUUUCCAUUAUUAUUUUAUUAUAUUUUUAUUUUAAAUAUAGAUAAACAGUGAAACAUUUAUUUAUUUAUUUUUCAGUUUGCUGCUGGAAAAAUCAUCUGGAGAAAGUCUCAAUGGAUCUUUGAAGUGCUCCUCAAGAUGAGUAAUAAUGCUGUAAAGACCUUUCUGUUGCUCUCAUCACCAAAUUACCUGCAGUCUUCAUAGACACCAAAGAGGUUAGCAUCAGACAGCACCUGGGAGACCAGAAAGAUAAGUGUCUUCAUUUUUCAGACGACAAAAUGGAGUUCCAGCCUGCAGAAAAGGCUUCUUCCAGAUCACAAACGAUAAAAGAAGCUGAACAGAAAUCGAUCCCUAUGACAAUAUGAGUUGAAUUUCAGUUUUUUUGUAGUUCUUAAUUCAAUGCCUUCAACUUAACACUCUUUCUUAGAGGUAGAUGAUACACACAGCCAACGUAAAUUGAUUUGACUCAAUAUACAUAUUAACUAUUAAUAGUAUUUUAGAUUGAUAAAGAAAAAAGAUCUGUUGAUUGAAAAAGAGAAAAAGUAGUGAAAGUGAUAUAAAAUUUAUUUUAACAUAUUGUUAACAUAUAACAAUUAAAUAUUAAGAAUAUUUUUAUUCUUCUGUUUAAUGUUCCAGCUAGAAGUUAAUAAAUGUCACAUUGCUCAAAUAUGAUUUGAAUAG
rnacentral:lncRNA from 1 species